UACGUAGGUGGCAAGCGUUGUCCGGAUUUAUUGGGUUUAAAGGGUGCGUAGGCGGCUUUGUAAGUCAGUGGUGAAAUAUGGCAGCUCAACUGUCAGGGUGCCAUUGAUACUGCAGAGCUUGAGUACAGAUGAGGUAGGCGGAAUUGACGGUGUAGCGGUGAAAUGCUUAGAUAUCGUCAAGAACACCGAUAGCGAAGGCAGCUUACUAGGCUGUAACUGACGCUGAGGCACGAAAGUGUGGGGAUCAAACAGG
rnacentral:rRNA from 1 species